rnacentral:lncRNA from 1 species
AUUUAUAACUACUAGAUAAACUUUACUUGUUUAAACAAAUGUCUUUGCAACAAAAAUAAAAGAAUUCUUUGAGGUCUUUAUCGAGAAACAAAAAUUCAAAAUUUAUUAUUUUUAUGCCCCACCUACAAUAGUAGACGGGCAUUAUGUUUUCUGGUCUGUACGUUCGUUUGUCCCGUUUCAGGUUAAAGUUUUUGGUCAAGGUAGUUUUUGAUGAAGUUGAAGUCCAAUCAACUUGAAACUACACUUGUUCCUUAUGAUAUGAUCUUUCUAAUUUUAAGGCCAAAUAAGAGUUUUGACCCAAAUUUCACGGUCCAAUGAACAUAGAAAAUGAUAGUGUGAGUGGGGCAUCUGUGCACUGGGGACACAUUCUUGUUUUUGCUAGAAAAUAACAAAUUUGUAUUUGGAAAUGUUUACAAUGAAUUAAGAGUAUGAAGGGUAAAGGGGGAUUAACUCAAAGCUUUUUUAUUAUGCUUGCUUGUUCAUCUUCAACUUUUAGUGUGAAAUAUUAUAAUAUGGAUAACUUGGGAUAAUGGAUUUUUUUUUUUAACUAACUGCUUUAGCUAGCUUUCUGUAGUAGUGAAACUGUUUUUGUACCAUGCUUCCUUUCCAUGUUGUAUUUAUAAUUAGUUGUCAAGUAUUCAUAGCUCCACUGUGCAGGUUUUUUAUACUGUGUUUAAACAUUCAACGUGUGGUCUUAAAGAAAUAAGAGUAUGCACAUAUAAAACUGGUCUUAUCCAGCCAAAUGUUGUGUCUGUACAAAGUUAAGCUAUUUAGACCAUGCACUGUAACUUUUUGUAUUGCAUUAUUUUGUGAGGAGUUGGAACCUGAUGUGGUUCUGUUGUAUUGCACAAUAUUUUAGGUUAUAUCUCUUAUUCCUUUUUAUGUGCUUUGUUUAUUCGUUAAAGAAUGUAAAAUGUAUUGUUGUCCAAUAGAACAUUCAGUGUGAUUAAAUAGCCAUGUAACUCAACCACUUGCUUGGUGAAGAAGAAGAUAUAUUGUGAUAGUUGUCUAUUCAUUUAUCCACAGUUAGUGUCCAUUAAAGAACUUACAUCUGUAGUUAAAAACUGAAGCACCUGAACACUUUAUGCAACUGUCCAAUUUAGAUAAAAAAAAUAAAAAAAAUAUUGACACAUACAUAUUUAAACAAAGAAGGUAGAAAGGGUUAUUUUAAUUCUACUGAUUGGUUAUUCUUGAUUUUAUUUUUCAAGAGCUAUCAUAAUCUGGGUAAUGAUAUGCAAAAAUGAAGGAUAAAAAUGACCCCAUAGAUUUAUCAAAGUCUUGGUUCUAUUGAAGUUUACCCCAAGUCUUGUAUGGGCUUAACAAAUCUUCAAAAUCUCAAAUAUUGUUGGGUGUUUUAGCAUUGAAUAUAUGAGAUAGAUUUGCCAGUAUACGUUGUUUUCACAUUUUAAGAGUGUUUUUCCUGGUAACUAUAUUUGAAUGGAACAGCCAUAACAUUUGUUUUGAAGUUUAUUUAUUGUAAUUAUAACUGCCCUGAAUGUUCAAGGACAUAACCAGAUGCGAAGAACUUUUAUUUAUAUACAUGUAUAACCAGUGUAAAUAGAACACCACAGUAUUCAAGAUAUUACUAUUUCAUUAGGAUAACUGUUGUAACUCCUAUCUCUGUCAUGUCUAUAGAUAUAUUGAAUUGAAGGUCAAUCAUAGUCAGAACUCUGUUCAUUAAAGUUUUCACAACAUUACUAAGAUAUUUUGAAUGAUCUCAAAAUCUAAAUGAUCUACUUAUAUGUGAAAUGAGAUUUAUUUAUUAUGAACAAGUUUUUGUUGUGGGUAAUGGAUGUAGGACAUUAUCUAGUCAUAGGAAAGGGAGAUUUUGUGAGGCUAGAAGAUUUUAACAAACAUGUGAUACAUAUAUGUUAUUUUCACUUUAAUGUUAGGUCAAAAAUGAUAUGUGUUUUCCAGCUAGAAACCAUUGAUACUGGCUUAAUUACUAAUGCUAUUCAAACGACUAAGAAAUGGAUUGUUCUAUUUAUUUAUAUAACCUCUUUGAAAAUGUCAAUGUAGAUCAAUUUACUUAGAACUUCAAAGGGAAACGUUAUUUUUUAAUGUACAAACAAGUAUUAGUUUUGUGUGGGAUGAUAGAGUAUAUACUGGUAUCCAGAUUUACAAGUUGACACAAAGACAUCAACUUUUAAAUUUAUAUUACAUUUUCACUUGAUGAUUCAAUUGUACAAUUAAAAUACAUGUACUACACUAUUGUUGUUUUGUUUUGGUUUUUUUAUCUCACUGCAUUUGAUUUUGGAAGUAAUUGUAAUUUUCCAACAAAUAUUGAGAGAGCAUAUUUAAGUAAGUUUCCUCUAUUGACAUGAAAUAAAUAAAAACUGCUUAAUGUCUUUGUAUUCUAUAUUACAUUUUAGAUCUAGUAUCUUUUAUUAAAUUAAUAUUCAAACAAAGAUUUCACUGCACUCUGAAAUUUUAUAAGAAAUAAAAGUAUUUGUAUGUGGCCUUAAGGUGGUACUUAACACUACAGGGAGAUAACUCUGUAAAAUCAGCUAAACGUUUUAAUUUCGUUGUGUUGUUAAGGGAAUAUUAAGCUUCUCAAUGAUCAAAAUAAGUGUUUGUCAAACUGCUAUAUAACCAGUGUAAUUUUUCUGAUAAAACGGUUGGUUCAAAUUUUUUGAAAUUUUUAUAUUAUUGUAAAAGGGUCAAAGUAAAUACUUUGUCAAAAUUUUAAGAAAAUUAAACGAGCCAAAUUAAUUUUAGUUAAAGUGUUGGGUACCACCUUAAAAGGCAAUAUCCAUCAUUAUUUAUGUACUCAUGAUUAAUCAAAUUAAUUUUCACAAUAAACCAAUUUUUUUUACCACUUGCAUACAUUGUUUCUUGCUGAUUUUUUAAAUUGUUACUUUUGAUAAUUUGUGUAUGUCUGUACAAAUGUGAAAAAUAAUGUACAUAUUUGAUUGGUUAUAUGACUGGUACGAUUAUAGCAAUAAAAAC